rnacentral:rRNA from 1 species
UACGAGAGGUGCUAGCGUUAUUCGGAAUUAUUGGGCGUAAAGGGCGCGUAGGCGGUCUGUUAAGUUUGUUGUUAAAGCCUCUGGCUUAACCGGAGAAAAGCAAUAAAAACUGGUGGACUAGAGGGUGAGAGAGAGAAGUGGAAUUCCCGGAGUAGCGGUAAAAUGCGUAGAUCUCGGGAGGAACACCAAUGGCGAAGGCUGCUUCUUGGCUCACAACUGACGCUGAGGCGCGAAAGCGUGGGGAGCAAACAGG